AACGUAGGAGACAAACGUUAUCCGGAGUUACUGGGCGUAAAGGGCGUGUAGGCGGUUUGUUAAGUCUGGCGUGAAAGCUCUCGGCUAAACCGGGAGAGGUCGUUGGAUACUGGCAAACUAGAGGAUGGUAGAGGCGUGGGGAAUUCCGGGUGUAGUGGUGAAAUGCGUAGAGAUCCGGAGGAACACCAGUGGCGAAGGCGGCCGCCUGGGCUGUACCUGACGCUCAAACACGAAAGCUAGGGGAGCGAACGGG
rnacentral:rRNA from 1 species